rnacentral:tRNA from 5 species
CGGGAUGUAGCGCAGCUGGUAGCGCGCUUGGUUUGGGACCAAGAUGUCGCAGGUUCGAAUCCUGUCAUCCCGA